AAUAAAAUGUCAAAAAAUAGUCAAAUUAAUAUAUAUUAAAUUCACAAUUCACAUAAACUUCAAGCAAAAAUUGACUUUGUCAUGAUGAAUAUUCACUCAUUCGGCACUCAAACCCAAAAUAGAACAUGGGUCAUAUACAGGUCCAGGAAAACAACCCACAACGAUUCGUGAGCACACACAAACAACAAAAAAAAAGGGGGGGGGGGUGGGAGACUGACUGGUCCAAAAGCGAUCAAUUAGAACAUGUAAAUUAAACAGACAUACAAAUCAACUGAACAUGAAAAUCCCCAAUAAAGACAACAUAUGAACAGGUAGAAACCUCAUUCAGGCACAAUAGUUGAACAUGUUUUCCAUGAUCGGAGAGCAACAAGCCGAACUUAAAAGUUGGUACCCAUUGAAGUCUUUUACAUCAAGCUCUUGAUGCAUUAACAGUGCUGGAUAUAAUCAUUGAAUAUAUGAUGAUAUCAUAUUGAAUAGUGAACAUCGAUUGAACGAACAAAAAAAGAACCUUCAAUCGGGCUAUCUUUAGAUCUUCAUAAAAGGUGGUCUGACUCCUGAGCCCAUGCCAUCACUCUCACCACUAAGCUUAAAACUCUCCACCAGGUUUCAUGGAUCCAAACUCCAAAAUUUAUUCAGUCAUCAAAUCUUGAAACCUUCUCAUAGAAGACGAAGAAGAUCCGCAAAAACAAUCUUAAGCAAGAUCAAAGUCCUUGAGAACAAAAGUCACGAAAUAAAUUAAAAAAAGAAAAAGGAGACAUAAGGAAUCCACAUAAGGCUCAAAGAAACCCUUAUCUAUUUAGAGAAAACUCAAGAGAAACGAAAAAGAGAGCACACAAAGGGCCUUAGUUUUGGUUUAAUAUUUUUAAAGCGUGGAAUAUACCUUCUCCUUACCUGUAUUGUGGGAUGCUUUAUCAUAAAUCCAGAAUAAUGAAGCAGAGAAGAAUUUUGAAUAUUAUCAUCCUAGACAGUUAGCUAGCUGCAAAAGGACUUAUCUUUUGCAUAUGACACUCUUUUUUAACAAUAGUGUUAUGGAUGUGUGCUAUUCUGAAACAAUUUUAUUACACGUCUCGCCUUCAGCUCAAAAAUAAUAAUGUAAUGAGAUAUUUUCUGCCAAACUUGAUCCCCUGCUUCUUCAAGUUAUUAAGCAAAGUGCUGGUUUCAAAAUUGACACUCUGGCUACAUGCUAAGUACCAUGGUGGGGGACUUGUUGCUUUUGGCAGGGUAAACUCAUUGCUAAGCGUAUAUAAUACAGAAAAUCUAAUAGAGUUGAAUGCUAUCCAUCCAAAAGAUUAUCUUAUGCAGCCCGGCUAAAGUUAAUUUAAUCUCUCCAUUCCA
rnacentral:lncRNA from 1 species